rnacentral:rRNA from 1 species
UCCUCCCUCUUUCUUCGUGCUUAACACAUGCAAGUCGAACGGAAAGGCCCUGCUUUUGUGGGGUGCUCGAGUGGCGAACGGGUGAGUAACACGUGAGUAACCUGCCCUUGACUUUGGGAUAACUUCAGGAAACUGGGGCUAAUACCGGAUAGGAGCUCCUGCUGCAUGGUGGGGGUUGGAAAGUUUCGGCGGUUGGGGAUGGACUCGCGGCUUAUCAGCUUGUUGGUGGGGUAGUGGCUUACCAAGGCUUUGACGGGUAGCCGGCCUGAGAGGGUGACCGGCCACAUUGGGACUGGGAUACGGCCCCGACUCCUACGGGAGGCAGCAGUGGGGAAUAUUGCACAAUGGGCGGAAGCCUGAUGCAGCAACGCCGCGUGCGGGAUGACGGCCUUCGGGUUGUAAACCGCUUUCGCCUGUGACGAAGCGUGAGUGACGGUAAUGGGUAAAGGAGCACCGGCUAACUACGUG